rnacentral:lncRNA from 1 species
AACAACCCAUGUAAUACAAUAAGGGAAAAGAUACAUAAUUGGCUUACAAUCGCCACUUCACACAAGUACAAGAAUAAAGCAUUACAUUAUCCAAAUACACUCAAGGUCCGACUACGGAACCAAAAUAAAAAGAAGACUACCCCAAAUGCUACACAGAUCCCCGAUCGACCCCAACUGGGCUCCACUACUGAUCAACUAGAACGAAACAACACAAAGGACAAGGUCUUCAUCGAGCUCCUCCUUGAGCUUGGUUACGUCACCUGCUCUGUAACAUCGGCACCUGCAAACUGGUUUUGGAAGUAUCUGUGAGUCAUGGGGACUCAGCAAUCUUACACCCUCGCGAUCAAGACUAUUUAAUCUUAUAGGUAAGGCAAGGUAAUAUGUGGAGCUGCAGCAAGUGACUAGCAUAUAUGGUGGCUAUCCUGUUCGCAAAAGAGAGCGAGAAGAGAAGGCAAAGCACGAACGAAGAACUAUGAUCAAGAAGUGAUCCUAAAACAACCUACGUCAAACAUUACUCCAACACCGUGUUCACUUCCCGGACUCCGCCGAGAAGAGACCAUCAUGGUUACACACGCGGUUGAUUUAUUUUAAUUAAGAUCAACUUCAGGUUUUCUACAACUUCAGGUUUUCUACAACUUAAGAUCAACCAGCCCUCGAGUUUCCCCGAGGUGGCGCUGCAAGGGGCUCUAGUUUGGACCAACACUCAGAGGAGCACUAGCCCGAGGGGGUUAAAAUAAUGAUGACCCUUGGGCAGGCCUACCCAAGGGAAAGAAAAGGCUAGGUGGCGAAUGGUAAAACCAAUGUUGGGCAUUGCUGGAGGAAUUUUAUUCAAGGCGAACUAUCAAGGGGUUCCCAUUAUAACCCAACCGCGUAAGGAACGCAAAAUCCGGGAACAUAACACCGAUAUGACGGAAACUAGGGCGGCAAGAGAGGAACAAAACACCAGGCAUAAGGCCGAGCCUUCCACCCUUUACCAAGUAUAUAGAUGCAUUAAUUAGAUAAGAGAUAUUGUGAUAUCCCAACAAGUAAACAUGUUCCAACAAGGAACAACAUCUCCAUGUUCCAACAAGGAACAAACUUCAAUCUUCACCUGCAACUAACAAUGCUAUAAGAGGAGCUGAGCAAAGCGGUAACAUAGCCAAACAACGGUUUGCUAGGACAAGGUGGGUUAGAGGAUUGGUUUAACAACAUGGGAGGCAUGAUAAGCAAGUGGUAGGUAUCGUAGCAUAGGCAUAGCAAUAGAGCGAGCAUCUAGCAAGCAAAGAUAGAAGUGAUUUCGAGGGUAUGGUCAUCUUGCCUGAAAUCCCGCAAGGAAGAAGAAUGAGUCCCUGAAGAAGACAAACGGACGUAGACGAACGGGUCCUCACAAAUGCGACGUUAUCGUAACUAACUCGAAGAAGCAACACCAUAAAAGAAGCAAACAACAUAGUAAACAACCAACACAUAAACAUGGCAUGAUGCACAACCAAGUAUGAUGCAUGUCCGGUUUAAAGAGGGCAUGGCAUGGCAAAGUGCACAAGGAAAACUACAAGUUAAGUGGAGCUCAAUAUGCAAUGAGUUGCAUAUUGACGAAACACCACAUUCGAGUUACUUAGUUCGAUCUCGUUUAUGUACCCAACAAUAUUAAAUGUUGUUAGCAUGGCAAGAGGGUGAAGCAAAGUAAAACUACCUAUCUAGUCAAGUUUAAAUGAGGUCGGAAGCAACGAACAACAAAUCCGGUAAAUCCCCAUAUGCAUAUAUUAGGGUUUGGUACUGAUCUGCCCUAAACACAAUUUUAGGGUUGUUAAACAUGCAAAGUAAAGCCGCCGUGUUAAACUAGGCAAAAUUCUACCCCAUAUACAUAUAAAGUUUAUUUGAAACCGAGAUACGGUUAUUUAGUUAUGAAUUAAAGCAUUUUAACAUGGCAUAGGAGUAAAUUAAAGCAAACAUCAUUUUAAGCAUUUCAAACAUGGAUGAAAGUUGCAAAAUAUUAAUAUACACACAAUUUUAAGCAAGUUUCAUAUAUAAUUUGUUUUAAACCGAUGCACGGUUUUGGAGAUAUUAAAUGCAGGAUCUAGAGGGACUGUUCUGUAAAACUGGCAGCCUCUGGAAUAAAUAGAAAAAUCACAGCACGCAUAAAAACAUAUGCGGCUGGAUCUAGGUGCUGGGCUUCCUCACCACGGGCCAAGCCCAGGUCGUUGGAGCCAGCUGGGCCGCGAGGCUCUUGCCUGGGCCUUGGUGGCUGCUGGCCUAGGCGCAGUUGACGCAGGAGGUCAACGAGGCGGGGCGGUCCAUGCGAGGCAGGGACGCGCUGGCAACCUGCUCGUAACUGAAAGUGCAGAGGCGGCAGCAGUGUUCAAGCGACAGCGGCUGGGCGCGAUGGUAUCCGGUGAUGUGGGCACAAGGAACGGAGGGAGGUGUAGCAGGAUGGGUCUUUAGGCGGCGGACGACGGCGAGUAUCCUCCGGAUCUGACGAGGGGAGCUGGUUCCUGAUGGCGGGAGCUGCAAAGGCCAUGGCGGGGGAAGAAAUUAGAGGGGAUACAGCAGUAAAGAGAGAACACGAAGGAAGGAGAGCAGCGGCAGGAGGGCUCCAUGGACGCCAUGGCUGGGCGCGGCAGUCAGCGACGCGGACGACAGACGCACGGCGGCGCUGGUGUUUGACGGCGACAAACAACAGGCGCACGCGGUGCGGAAAAUCCCACGCGGUCGAGGGCAGGUGAAAGGAGUGGGACUUGGCGCCGGCCUUGUCCUCACGUGCUUGCACGACCGAAGCAGGGGACGACGAUGGACUUGGCGGUCUCCGGUGGGGCGGCAUGGCGUUCUCGAGUGGCACAGGGAGACUCGAAGCAGAGGCGGGGCUAGCAGCUAACGGGGAUGGAUGGAACCGGUGUUCCCCGGCGACAGCGACGGCGCAUCAACAGAUCGGAGUGGCGGCGAUGUUCCUUCAUGGUCACCGACGAGGACGCGAUGUGAGGUGAGGAAAAGGGCGGCCCUGCUGCCCCGGUGCUGCAGGCGGAGGAGCUUGGACCAGCUGGGCCUUGGGCGCGAGCGUUCCCUCUCGGGGGAAGCUCCUGCGGUCAAAGGCGAAGAUGGCUGCGAGGACGAAGGACGACGCGGUGGCGGCUCGGGGCUCCGGUGGCACGCGAGCAGAGGCACCUACGGGUGCUUGAGGUGGAUGGGUGGAUCUGAAAACGAGGAAGGGAUUUUGGAUCGGGGAGGAUCCCGAUGAGGAAGAGACAGGAAGAGUGGCGGCGGCGGAGUGAUUGGAUGGAUGGAGGGGAUAGGAUCCCUAGUUUCUAGGGUUGUCCACUAUUUAUAUUGCAAUGAGAUUAGGGUAGGGGCUAUCACGUCCCUACGAUCGUAAUCGGGCGGCUAGGGAAAUAUAGGGUUGGUAGUACAAUUAACAAAACAGAGACGUUUUGUAGAUGUUUGGGGAUAAUCCGGAUCUAACGGUGACGAUUGUCCGGGUCGGGUCCGGGACAACUUUUCGGACGCGCGCGCGAGGGGGUUUGAUGCACUGAGCAGAGAGGGUUUCGGACCGUGCGAUCGCAUCGGACAACUCCGGAAGCGAGGAGGGGAAAGAGGAUGGACUAGGUGGGCUGAGAAGAGAGAGGGGGAAAGCAACCCGGCAACUGUUUCCGGAGACCGGAAAUGUACGACAUUUGACCGGCUAUACUGCCGCUAUAGUUAUCCGUUGGGCGUCAAACGGACUCCGAACGCGAUGAAACUUGGUAGGCGGCCUACCUACUCUAAAAUAAGACCGCACGCUACUCUCAUCCCAUUCCAAGAACAUUUUCCGGCCACUAAUAAAAUAAUAUUUCGGACGUGCCGCGGGCGCGUGCAAGUGAGUCUGGCCUCAGAACGGACAACGGAAGGAACUGGGAGACCCGGUCGAAUGCAAGUUUUGAAAACGUGAUGAUGCAAUGCACAUGAUGACAUGGCAAGAUGAAACACGCAAGAAAAAGACAAGGCAAUAACAACGAAACACCGGAAUACACCUGGUGCAAUGGUCUCGGGGUGUUACAACACCACCACUACGAGAGGAUCUCGUCCCGAGAUCUAGAAUGGCACCGGAGGGAAAAACGGAAGAGAAAGAGGAGAGGUAAAGCUAAGUUGCUUCUUUGACGAAUGAGUGAAACCACGAACCUUGCAAAGGUUGAGCAAAUUGAAAGAAAGAAAGCAACGGAGGUGGAAGAAGUUGAAAAACACUCCGUUGGGAAAAAAAGGAAUAAGGAAGAACAAAUUCGGACAGCACUCCGGUUGAAAAGAGAUGCAAGACUUGAUAAGGCGAAAAGACCUUGAGCAACAGGGCACAACACUCCGGUUAAAUGGAUAAUCAUGAAAAGAACAAGGUCCUGACAAGAACAAGAAGGGUAGAAGAGAGCAACAUCACGAUGCCUCGGGAAUAAAAGUGAGAAUGGAAUGGAAUGAAUGAAGUAGAAAAGAAGAUCUUAAGAGAGCACACUUACAACAAAUACUAGAACGGAGUUGUUGGAAAACCAACAACGAAAAGAAUAAGCUUGAUAUGGUCUUAUGGAAUACAUCUUAAAUAAUGAGGUGACAACCUGCCACUCACGAAAAACAAGAUUGGAUUGAUAUGAACAAGAAGACGAGAAACUUAUCUCACCGGGAGGAUAAAUGAAGACUAGGGUCGUUUAUAAGCACCAUAAUUAGCAAAAUCCUUAGGGAAAGCUUUAGGUGAAAUAUAACCCCAGAUAAAUCCAAUGACGAGAUUGAUGGAUUUUAAAUACCUCAUUCUUAACAACAUGUGUAUCAUGAUACAUGAACUCAAAUUAUCAGGAAUGACAUAAUACCACCUCGAAUGAUAUGGUUGAAAGAAUUGCAUUCCGGAUUGCAAGAUGAAGAAUACUUGAGCUCCUUAGAAAAGAAUCUCGAUGAAAACUUCAAGAAUGAAUUAAAUCCUUGAUGAACCAUCAUGUAGAACCUUCAUGACCAACUCCUGUAACAAAAGGAUAACGAAAAAGAAAGUGAAGUCGAAAACACAAGGUGAUACCUUGUAAUGAUUUAGAUGGAUCUCCGUGAUAAUUAGAGCUUGGAUCUCCGAGAAAGAAAAGAUGAUCAAAAGAAAAUCAAGAAUUUUUAUGAACCUCCGGAGUAAGGAAUUAAUCACUUGUAUGAAACAAGAAUAAGAAUUACAUUAUGCUUAUCCUUCACCAACUUAAAUUGAUGACAAGCAACGGAUUUGACAUACCACUUAUUCUCGUAGAAAGGAUUAAGAUAGAUAUUGCGCAAACUUGAGAAAGGUCUUCAACGAACCACCGGUAGGAUUGGACAGAAUGAAUGAAUUGAUAUGAUAACCAUGGAAUAGAAUCUUGAGCAAACCACCGUACGAAUUGAAAAUGAAAGUAGCAAAGGCACAAUUCACCGGGAAGAAUUGGAAAACGAAUGGAGAUACUAGAGGGAAUUUAGAUACAUGAGAACGAAGAGAUCAUGAACCGAUUAGAGGAUAUUUGAACGAUGCACUGGUAAGAUUUAGAGAAAGAGAGCUGGAAACUGAGAAUGAAUAAUUCUUCUGAAAUGAUGGGCUUCGGAGAAACAAACCGAAAUACUCCUGAAUUGCUCCAGAUGGAUGAAAAGAAUUUUCGCAAUCGAAAGCAAUUAUGAGAGGAUGGCAUCAAGCUUGAACUACGCAUCAUCGAGAGAACGGACCAAGAUUUAAGAGAAACUCUUCUUCGGACUUCAAGAUUUGAGAAUGACAGCGAGAAACACUACCAUGAAUUGUUGAGAUACUCCAGGAGAAUGAAUAAAGAAGAAGUUGCGCCAACGGUGAAAGGAAAUUGACCGAUCUUGGAGAAAUACAUAAGACUGAUGAUAAUUCAUUCUUACGUCAAACUUUGAAAUGACUUUGAGAAUAACUCCGGAAAGAAUUAGAGUUAGGUAAGAUCCUGGAAAAGACCUGUGGGUUAGGGCCCACUCAAAAGAAAACACCGUUAGAAUGAUUAAAAAGAGAGGUGCACCGGUUGAAUUAAAAGGCUUGAAUGAGAUAACAUCCUCAAAAUAGCUUGAAGGGAUUAAGAGUGGAAACACGAAUCUUCUGAGAUAUAUUUAGCACUCCAGAACAAAAGAAUAGCGAGAGGUGAACGAUUAUGAGGUGCACUGGCAUAAGAAAAGCAUUGGACAAAAAGAAAAGACAAUGCUCAAUACCAAAGUUUGAAUUGAAUCCACUGGAGAAGGAAAAUGAGUGACGAGAGAAGAACUUGAAGCUUCGUUAACAUCUUCCUGAGAAAUCACCCGAUAAGAACAUUGACGGAAAAGGAAUGGAGAGACUUCACAAGAAUAAAAGGAUACUUGAUUAAGACAUCGGAUUCCUUGAAGAGAAACAAGGGAGCGAGGGCGGGAAAAAAACAAAGGCAACUUGGAGACGGCUGAAACAAACACCGUUGAGAAGAACUGAGAAUUGAUCCUGCUACUGUUGAAAUGAUUGGAUCCACUUAAAGAGAGACACACCGGUUGAAAAGGGUUGACAUGACAAUCUCGAUUAUCAAGAAGGAUUAGUAUUCGCAUCGGAGUAUGAGAACACCAUUUGGGGAAGGUAUGGAAUCAACAUUCGACAUUGAAGCAACUCGAAUACCACAACUCAAAACAAAACAAAGGAUUGGAUUGCAAAAUAAGCCGGAACAAACAUAUGAUAGAGAUUUCGUCCGAAGUUUUCGUGGUGGGGCCUACACAGGCUCGAUCGUACAACACCAUCAUGUACAAGGCAGUGCACAUGACAUACGAAGCGUCCCCGCGUCGGCAUAGCCAAGGACUCUUUAAGACACAACGAGACCACUGUAAAACCAACCGUGGAUAGGCGGACCACUAGAUGUCGAACCCCAAUUUCAUAUCAUACAUCUGUCGGAAAGAUAUCCUAAGAGCUACUUGAAUUCCCACUUAUAAACUCCCGAAAUUUUCCGGUUAUGCAAUCAGGUGUUGGGGAUACAGGGGAAGCAUAAUAUCUCACCCAAAACUAGCAAAUCCUACAUCCAGCUGUAUCCAUCCUUCAACACAUAACCAAGAAACCUUCAGAAAUCAUUUACCUCAACCUUCAAAAAGCAUCCGUUAUACAAGUUAUGGCAAUACUCCCGAACUCCCGCCCCAGUACUAGGUGGCGUCGAGGUUAUCUCACCAACAACUGCAUAAAAGAGAUUUUCGAUAUCGGCGAAACUAAACUCAGGUAUUCCAGAACUGCAAUGAUAAAAUUGUGACGACAACACCUCGGAGCUCAACUCCCCGGGACACUGCCACAACCCCUAAAUGAUAGGAGGCACCAAGAACAAUGUUCUUGUCACAAAACCAUCGGAAUGAUUCCAAGAUACCCGCGUGAUCCUAGAAUUUUUUUAGUGAAAUUUGAGAAGAGAAGAGUCAAAACUCUACGUCAGGAUGCCUUACUAGAGCGAUGAAGGGACUGGGGAGUAAAAAGAAUUCCUAAACUCUCCGAUAUAUGUAAUCCUAAAUGACUCAAACAUUUUUCUAAACUCAACAACGCCAACGAUUCGAUCAAGCAGGGGGCUCCUAAGGUCGGGGAAGGCUCUGAUACCAACUUGUAGCGCCCUCGAUGCGGCUAUAUCUCCCACAUGUCGAAGCACGACUUAAAGGCAUAACCGCAUUGAAAGCAAUGUCGCAAGUGAGGUAAUCUUCGCAAACAACCCAUGUAAUACAAUAAGGGAAAAGAAACAUAAUUGGCUUACAAUCGCCACUUCACACAAGUACAAGAAUAAAGCAUUACAUUAUCCAAAUACACUCAAGGUCUGACUACGGAACCAAAAUAAAAAGAAGACUACCCCAAAUGCUACACAGAUCCCCGAUCGACCCCAACUGGGCUCCACUACUGAUCAACUAGAACGAAACAACACAAAGGACAAGGUCUUCAUCGAGCUCCUCCUUGAGCUUGGUUGCGUCACCUGCUCUGUAACAUCGGCACCUGUAAACUGGUUUUGGAAGUAUCUGUGAGUCACGGGGACUCAGCAAUCUUACACCCUCGUGAUCAAGACUAUUUAAGCUUAUAGGUAAGGCAAGGUAAUAUGUGGAGCUGCAGCAAGCGACUAG